UACAUAGGGGGCGAGCGUUGUUCGGAAUUACUGGGCGUAAAGGGCGCGUAGGCGGCCCGCUAAGUCGAACGUGAAAUCCCCAGGCUCAACCUGGGAACUGCGUCCGAUACUGGCAGGCUUGAAUCCGGGAGAGGGAUGUGGAAUUCCAGGUGUAGCGGUGAAAUGCGUAGAUAUCUGGAGGAACACCGGUGGCGAAGGCGGCAUCCUGGACCGGCAUUGACGCUGAAUAGCGAAAGCCAGGGGAGCAAACGGG
rnacentral:rRNA from 1 species